rnacentral:rRNA from 1 species
AUGAACGCUGGCGGCGUGCCUAAUACCUGCAAGUCGCGCGAACAGACGAGGAGCUUGCUCCUCUGACGUUAGCGGCGGACGGGUGAGUAACACGUGGAUAACCUACCUAUAAGACUGGGAUAACUUCGGGAAACCGGAGCUAAUACCGGAUAAUAUAUUGAACCGCAUGGUUCAAUAGUGAAAGACGGUUUUGCUGUCACUUAUAGAUGGAUCCGCGCCGCAUUAGCUAGUUGGUAAGGUAACGGCUUACCAAGGCAACGAUGCGUAGCCGACCUGAGAGGGUGAUCGGCCACACUGGAACUGAGACACGGUCCAGACGCCUACGGGAGGCAGCAGUAGGGAAUCUUCCGCAAUGGGCGAAAGCCUGACGGAGCAACGCCGCGUGAGUGAUGAAGGUCUUCGGAUCGUAAAACUCUGUUAUUAGGGAAGAACAAAUGUGUAAGUAACUAUGCACGUCUUGACGGUACCUAAUCAGAAAGCCACGGCUAACUACGUG